UGAAAAAGCUAGGGGUGCCUUGGUGCUGAGAUAGAUUCAAUUCUAACCCUUGUACCUGAACUGGAUAAUACCAGCGUAGGAAAGCAGUGUAUAAAUGUA
rnacentral:ncRNA from 2 species